UGGGGAAUUUUGCACAAUGGGCGCAAGCCUGAUGCAGCGACGCCGCGUGAGGGAUGAAGGCCUUCGGGUUGUAAACCUUUUUCGCUCAUGGUCAAGCCGCAGCUUUGGGUUGUGGUGAGGGUAGUGGGUAAAGAAGCGCCGGCUAACUACGUGCCAGCAGCCGCGGUAAUACGUAGGGCGCGAGCGUUGUCCGGAAUUAUUGGGCGUAAAGGGCUUGUAGGCGGUUGGCCGCGUCUGCCGUGAAAUCCUCUGGCUUAACUGGGGGCGGGCGGUGGGUACGGGUUGACUUGAGUGCGGUAGGGGAGACUGGAAUUCCUGGGGUAGCGAUGGAAUGCGCAGAUAUCAGGAGGAACACCGGUGGGGAAGGCGGGUCUCUGGGCCGUUACUGACGCUGAGGAGCGAAAGCGUGGGGAGCGAACAGG
rnacentral:rRNA from 1 species